UUUCCAUGGGUAUUUUCAUCCUUUUGUCCUUCCCUCUCAGGGCUUGUGAGUGCAUGUUACAGAUGCCGGUGCCUGUGGGUGCAGGCAGGAGGGAGAACUGAGUGGAGAUUUCAACCACAACAAGGCACAUGACACAGGGCUGAAGCAGAGUUCAUAAAGCCACUGUGCUUGUCAAGCCCAAUCACAGCUCAAGAACAGGAGAAAAAAUUUCUCCUUAGGUGGUGUUUGGCUGACUGUGCCCCAGCCCUGUCUCUUACAAGCUGUGAGCUCCUGCCACCAUGCCCUGCACUGAUGGGGUGCCUGUGGCUACUUCAGGGCUGGAGCAGGGGGACAUGGCAGCAUGGCUGGGCUUGGUGGUAGCUGCUGCAUUGCUCUGUGUGCUAAAUUUGUAGCAUCUGAGUUUUCUCUUUGCAUGGCUGCUCAGACAGUUUCCUACAGCCCUGGGGGAUUUAGGGGCUUUCAAGUAAUGAUGAAGCUACACCAGCUCCCUUAUAUUAAAAUAAGGUGUCCAGACCUUACCUUAUCCAACUUUAUUGAGAUGGAAUGCCCAUAAAGGGAAUAAAUGCUGCUUUCAGACGAGAUGUCCUGGUCCUGCCAGUGCUGGCUCUGUAUUUCAGUGCUUUGUGGACACACGUGCAGGAGCAUUGCAAAGCCAUCCCUGCCUUUCUUCCCUAUUUCCUGCACCCAGUCCCAAUCAAGCAGACUUGAAAUGUGUAUUUUUGAGGGUUUCAGAUGGUUCCUUUUCCCUGUAUUUAUCAUCAUUUCUCUCUUCUUACACAUCUCCUUUCUCAUGCUUGGCCAUGUGUCCCCAUGGCCUUUCCCCUUCUCCACAAAGGCUGGAGCAGCGUUUGUCCUGCACUGCUCCCCAACCUGCUGUCCCACUCUACAGGCUUGGGAGUCCAAGGCCCCAAGGCCUGUGACAGCACUGGACAGGCAGAGACCAUGCAGCUGGAGACAGCUGUUCAGAAGCAUCACAGCCGAGCAGACUUGGUUUCCUUGUCCUGAGUCAGAGGAUGAAUUACACAUCUUCCCUUCACCAGCUACCUAAUCAGCUGUUGGAGAGGAAAAUAAAAAUGGUGCCUGGCUUUAUGAGAAUUGAUUUAUGAGAACUACCUUCAUGCUGAGGCUGCCACCCUUUUUACUUCAGAGGAGCUGCUAAGGACCUAUCAUCUGCUGCUCUGAGCUCAUGCCCUGUGCUUUGGAGGCAUUUGAAUCACUUUCUCUGCUUGGCAGAUGUUGUAAAAAGCUCUUUGCUGUGACUGUAAGGAACAGAAACCUCUUGUCUUAUUCUUUGCACCCCCUGAGGUGCCCCGAGGAUCCAUGGCUUUCAGAUGACCCCAAACCACUGCCAGGAUGGACUGGUGAACGAUGGCCAGGAGCCACCCCUGUCGCUCACCCACUGCAGAGCAGCAGCGCUGAGCAGCACGUGCGCAUGAGGGAAGAACACCUGCACAUGCAGCGCCUGGCACAGACUAAUCUAGACCAGCUUCCAAAGCUCAGAGCUUAUCGCAACAAAAUGUAAAACAGGAGCAGGAACAAGAAACUCUUUUUUAAAGGUCUGAUGUUGCUUCAGGCUUUUUCAAAAGUCAGGAACAUCUUUAUUAGGGAAUUGUGGAACCAAGGUAUUGCUUUCUGCUUGUGUCAGUGCCUUUGCACAGCUCCCCUCCUGUGCUGCACUGGUGCUGAGGAGGCAGGAGUGUCCAGCUGGGCAGCCUGGCACUGUGGACACCACAGAGGGGUGAGGAGGGGCCAAGGGGCAGGAGACAAACCAGGCUGUGCUUGCUUUCUGCCUUUCCUUUCCAGGCAGUUUUUGCAGACUGGCUGCCAGGGCUGAGUGGGAGCGGUGGGAGCAUUUAAAUACAUGCACUAGCACAUGCAUUACUAAAUCAGCCACUUUAAAACAUUGUCUUUAAUUUACUGCCUUUGAUUGAAGU